rnacentral:rRNA from 1 species
CCUACGGGGGGCUGCAGUGGGGAAUAUUGGACAAUGGGGGCAACCCUGAUCCAGCCAUGCCGCGUGUGUGAAGAAGGCCCUCGGGUUGUAAAGCACUUUCAGUGAGGAAGAACGCCUGGUGGUUAAUACCCAUCAGGAAAGACAUCACUCACAGAAGAAGCACCGGCUAACUCCGUGCCAGCAGCCGCGGUAAUACGGAGGGUGCGAGCGUUAAUCGGAAUUACUGGGCGUAAAGCGCGCGUAGGUGGCUUGAUAAGCCGGUUGUGAAAGCCCCGGGCUCAACCUGGGAACGGCAUCCGGAACUGUCCAGCUAGAGUGCAGGAGAGGAAGGUAGAAUUCCCGGUGUAGCGGUGAAAUGCGUAGAGAUCGGGAGGAAUACCAGUGGCGAAGGCGGCCUUCUGGACUGACACUGACACUGAGGUGCGAAAGCGUGGGUAGCAAACAGGAUUAGAUAUCCGAGUAGUC